rnacentral:rRNA from 1 species
AACGAACGCUGGCGGCAUGCCUAACACAUGCAAGUCGAACGAGACCUUCGUGUCUAGUGGCGCACGGGUGCGUAACGCGUGGGAACCUGCCUUUAGGUUCGGAAUAACUCAGAGAAAUUUGAGCUAAUACCGGAUGAUGUCUUCGGACCAAAGAUUUAUCGCCUUUAGAUGGGCCCGCGUUGGAUUAGCUAGUUGGUGUGGUAAAGGCCUACCAAGGCGACGAUCCAUAGCUGGUCUGAGAGGAUGAUCAGCCACACUGGGACUGAGACACGGCCCAGACUCCUACGGGAGGCAGCAGUGGGGAAUAUUGGACAAUGGGCGAAAGCCUGAUCCAGCAAUGCCGCGUGAGUGAUGAAGGCCUUAGGGUUGUAAAGCUCUUUUACCCGAGAUGAUAAUGACAGUAUCGGGAGAAUAAGCUCCGGCUAACUCCGUG